UAGGGAAUCUUCGGCAAUGGGGGCAACCCUGACCGAGCAACGCCGCGCGAGUGAAGAAGGUUUUCGGAUCGUAAAGCUCUGUUGUAAGUCAAGAACGAGUGUGAGAGUGGAAAGUUCACACUGUGACGGUAGCUUACCAGAAAGGGACGGCUAACUACGUGCCAGCAGCCGCGGUAAUACGUAGGUCCCGAGCGUUGUCCGGAUUUAUUGGGCGUAAAGCGAGCGCAGGCGGUUUGAUAAGUCUGAAGUUAAAGGCUGUGGCUCAACCAUAGUUCGCUUUGGAAACUGUCAAACUUGAGUGCAGAAGGGGAGAGUGGAAUUCCAUGUGUAGCGGUGAAAUGCGUAGAUAUAUGGAGGAACACCGGUGGCGAAAGCGGCUCUCUGGUCUGUAACUGACGCUGAGGCUCGAAAGCGUGGGGAGCGAAUAGGAUUAGAUACCCUGGUAGUCCACGCCGUAAACGAUGAGUGCUAGGUGUUGGAUCCUUUCCGGGAUUCAGUGCCGCAGCUAACGCAUUAAGCACCCCGCCUGGGGAGUACGACCGCAAGGUUG
rnacentral:rRNA from 1 species